AAUAACCAAACACAAUACUAGGGUUUAGAGUAAGAUUUACAAUUUUUCUUACAUCUCCACCACCAGGAGCCCAAGUAUCAUAUACACCACCAAACCAUAAAGCUUUGAACACUAAUAAAAAUGCACCAGCACCCAAAAGGAUUAAAUGAAUACCUAAAAUGGUAGUCAUUUUGUUUUUAUCCUUCCA
rnacentral:antisense_RNA from 1 species